GCCUAUACAUGCAGUCGAGCGGAUCUUCAUUAGCUUGCUUUUGAAGAUCAGCGGCGGACGGGUGAGUAACACGUGGGCAACCUGCCUGUAAGACUGGGAUAACUUCGGGAAACCGGAGCUAAUACCGGAUAAUCCUUUCCCUCACAUGAGGGAAAGCUGAAAGACGGUUUCGGCUGUCACUUACAGAUGGGCCCGCGGCGCAUUAGCUAGUUGGUGAGGUAACGGCUCACCAAGGCAACGAUGCGUAGCCGACCUGAGAGGGUGAUCGGCCACACUGGGACUGAGACACGGCCCAGACUCCUACGGGAGGCAGCAGUAGGGAAUCUUCCGCAAUGGACGAAAGUCUGACGGAGCAACGCCGCGUGAACGAUGAAGGCCUUCGGGUCGUAAAGUUCUGUUGUCAGGGAAGAACAAGUAUCGGAGUAACUGCCGGUACCUUGACGGUACCUGACCAGAAAGCCACGGCUAACUACGUGCCAGCAGCCGCGGUAAUACGUAGGUGGCAAGCGUUGUCCGGAAUUAUUGGGCGUAAAGCGCGCGCAGGCGGUUCCUUAAGUCUGAUGUGAAAGCCCCCGGCUCAACCGGGGAGGGUCAUUGGAAACUGGGGAACUUGAGUGCAGAAGAGGAGAGCGGAAUUCCACGUGUAGCGGUGAAAUGCGUAGA
rnacentral:rRNA from 2 species